rnacentral:rRNA from 1 species
UACAGAGGUCUCAAGCGUUGUUCGGAUUCAUUGGGCGUAAAGGGUGCGUAGGCGGCGCGGUAAGUCGGGUGUGAAAUCUCGGGGCUUAACUCCGAAACUGCAUUCGAUACUGCCGUGCUUGAGGACUGGAGAGGAGACUGGAAUUUACGGUGUAGCGGUGAAAUGCGUAGAUAUCGUAAGGAAGACCAGUGGCGAAGGCGGGUCUCUGGACAGUUCCUGACACUGAGGCACGGAAGGCCCAGGGGAGCAAACGGG